AGGACGAACGCUGGCGGCGUGCUUAACACAUGCAAGUCAAGGGGGCCCAGCAAUGGGCAACCGGCGAACGGGUGCGUAACACGUGAGCAAUCUGCCUAGAUGUGGGGGAUAGCCGGCCCAACGGCCGGGUAAUACCGCAUACGCUCUCCUGGUGGCAUCACCGGGUGAGGAAACUUUCGAGGCGUCUAGAGGAGCUCGCGGCCUAUCAGCUAGUUGGUGAGGUAAUGGCUCACCAAGGCUUUGACGGGUAGCUGGUCUGAGAGGAUGGCCAGCCACAUUGGGACUGAGAUACGGCCCAGACUCCUACGGGAGGCAGGCAGUGGGGAAUAUUGCGCAAUGGCCGAAAGGCUGACGCAGCGACGCGCGUGGGGGAUGAAGCAUUCGGUGUGUAAACCCCUGUUGCUCGGACGAACAACCUGCUUCAGCAGGUCUGACGGUACCGGUGAGGAAGCACCGGCUAACGUCCGUGCCAGCCAGCCGCGGUAAUC
rnacentral:rRNA from 1 species